rnacentral:misc_RNA from 1 species
GGAGUUAGAGGCAAAGGAAGGGCCACAUAUUCAAGAAAGAGCUCAUGGAUCCCAUCAUCAACAAUCUUGAUAUAUGUGGGUGCAUCUUCGCCAUAAAGUUUUGAAAAACUGAAUUCCACGAGCUUCAUUUUGAAGCGGGGAUCCAUGACUACAGCAAUUGCCAAAACCAGGCUGCAAUCCUUCCAAUAUUUGCUGAUCUUUUCUUGCAUUGCUUUGGUAA